GUGCGGCCACGAAUCGGCCAAGGUCCCGUUACGGAUCGACCGACAAUUUUCGGUGGCUGCAUCUGUACUUGGCCCCUCUAUGAAUACUGUGGCCCCUUGAUGGCCCCUUACUCAGAAAAAUCCUAGAUCCGCCACUGGCUAGCAGGAAUCGGUUAACCAACUGUGUGAUUACGAUAGCAUGGCAGGCUAGCUGUUGCACGCAGGAGCAGCCAUUAAUAGGUCGGCAGCGCAAUCGUAGUUAUUCAUCGCGGACUCCUGUGUCGGUGGGUUGAGUGUGCCACGCUACUU